GCCCCCAUCGUCUAGCGGCCAAGGACGCCGGCUCCUCAAGCCGGAAACGGAGAUUCGAAUCCUCCUGGGGGCACCA
rnacentral:tRNA from 1 species